AGAUAAGAGAAAGCCAAACACCAAAAUGCUGGGAAUUCAAGGAGCGGCAUUCCAGACACUGUGCAACUGAGACAGGCUUUCUAUAGCCCCAUCCAUCUUUGGAGCAUACUCACUGUUGUACCAUUGGAAGGCAAGUGUGAGCCUCAGGAGGAAAGCUGCC